rnacentral:rRNA from 1 species
AGAGUUUGAUCCUGGCUCAGAACGAACGCUGGCGGCAGGCCUAACACAUGCAAGUCGAGCGCACCUUCGGGUGAGCGGCGGACGGGUUAGUAACGCGUGGGAACAUACCCUUCUCUAAGGAAUAGCCACUGGAAACGGUGAGUAAUACCUUAUACGCCCUUCGGGGGAAAGAUUUAUCGGAGAUGGAUUGGCCCGCGUUAGAUUAGAUAGUUGGUGGGGUAACGGCCUACCAAGUCUACGAUCUAUAGCUGGUUUUAGAGGACGAUCAGCAACACUGGGACUGAGACACGGCCCAGACUCCUACGGGAGGCAGCAGUGGGGAAUCUUAGACAAUGGGCGAAAGCCUGAUCUAGCCAUGCCGCGUGAGUGAUGAAGGCCCUAGGGUCGUAAAGCUCUUUCGCCAGGGAUGAUAAUGACAGUACCUGGUAAAGAAACCCCGGCUAACUCCGUGCCAGCAGCCGCGGUAAUACGGAGGGGGUUAGCGUUGUUCGGAAUUACUGGGCGUAAAGCGUACGUAGGCGGAUCAGAAAGUUAGGGGUGAAAUCCCGAGGCUCAACCUCGGAACUGCCUCUAAAACUCCUGGUCUUGAGUUCGAGAGAGGUGAGUGGAAUUCCAAGUGUAGAGGUGAAAUUCGUAGAUAUUUGGAAGAACACCAGUGGCGAAGGCGGCUCACUGGCUCGAUACUGACGCUGAGGUACGAAAGUGUGGGGAGCAAACAGGAUUAGAUACCCUGGUAGUCCACACCGUAAACGAUGAAUGCCAGUCGUCGGGCAGUAUACUGUUCGGUGACACACCUAACGGAUUAAGCAUUCCGCCUGGGGAGUACGGUCGCAAGAUUAAAACUCAAAGGAAUUGACAGGGGCCCGCACAAGCGGCGGAGCAUGUGGUUUAAUUCGAAGCAACGCGCAGAACCUUACCAACCCUUGACAUCCUGUGCUACUACCAGAGAUGGUACGUUCCCUUCGGGGACGCAGUGACAGGUGCUGCAUGGCUGUCGUCAGCUCGUGUCGUGAGAUGUUCGGUUAAGUCCGGCAACGAGCGCAACCCACAUCUUUAGUUGCCAGCAGUUCGGCUGGGCACUCUAAAGAAACUGCCCGUGAUAAGCGGGAGGAAGGUGUGGAUGACGUCAAGUCCUCAUGGCCCUUACGGGUUGGGCUACACACGUGCUACAAUGGCAGUGACAAUGGGUUAAUCCCAAAAAACUGUCUCAGUUCGGAUUGGGGUCUGCAACUCGACCCCAUGAAGUCGGAAUCGCUAGUAAUCGCGUAACAGCAUGACGCGGUGAAUACGUUCCCGGGCCUUGUACACACCGCCCGUCACACCAUGGGAGUUGGUUCUACCCGACGACGCUGCGCUAACCUUCGGGGGGCAGGCGGCCACGGUAGGAUCAGCGACUGGGGUGAAGUCGUAACAAGGUA